rnacentral:rRNA from 1 species
GUGGGGAAUCUUCCGCAAUGGACGAAAGUCUGACGGAGCAACGCCGCGUGAGUGAAGAAGGUUUUCGGAUCGUAAAGCUCUUUCGUUAGGGACGAACGUGCUCUUUGUGAAUAAUGAGGAGUAAUGACGGUACCUAAAUAAGAAGCCACGGCUAACUACGUGCCAGCAGCCGCGGUAAUACGUAGGUGGCAAGCGUUGUCCGGAAUUAUUGGGCGUAAAGCGCGCGCAGGCGGGAUAUCAAGUCUGUCUUAAAAGUGCGAGGCUCAACCUCGUGAGGGGACAGAAACUGGUAUUCUUGAGUGUCGGAGAGGAAAGUGGAAUUCCAAGUGUAGCGGUGAAACGCGUAGAGAUUUGGAAGAACACCAGUGGCGAAGGCGACUUUCUGGACGAUGUCUGACGCUGAGGCGCGAAAGCUAGGGGAGCGAACGGGAUUAGAAACCCGAGUAGUCC